AUUGAACGCUGGCGGCAUGCUUUACACAUGCAAGUCGAACGGUAACAGGCCUUCGGGUGCUGACGAGUGGCGAACGGGUGAGUAAUGCAUCGGAACGUGCCCAGAGGUGGGGGAUAACGCAGCGAAAGCUGUGCUAAUACCGCAUGUGAUCUGAGGAUGAAAGCGGGGGACCAAGCAGCAAUGUUUGGCCUCGCGCCUCUGGAGCGGCCGAUGUCAGAUUAGGUAGUUGGUGGGGUAAAGGCCUACCAAGCCGACGAUCUGUAGCUGGUCUGAGAGGACGACCAGCCACACUGGGACUGAGACACGGCCCAGACUCCUACGGGAGGCAGCAGUGGGGAAUUUUGGACAAUGGGCGCAAGCCUGAUCCAGCAAUGCCGCGUGCGGGAAGAAGGCCUUCGGGUUGUAAACCGCUUUUGUACGGAACGAAAAGGCUCUGGUUAAUACCUGGGGCUGAUGACGGUACCAUAAGAAUAAGCACCGGCUAACUACGUG
rnacentral:rRNA from 1 species